UUAUCCGGAAUUAUUGGGCGUAAAGCGCGCGUAGGCGGUUUUUUAAGUCUGAUGUGAAAGCCCACGGCUCAACCAUGGAGGGUCAUUGGAAACUGGAAAACUUGAGUGCAGAAGAGGAAAGUGGAAUUCCAUGUGUAGCGGUGAAAUGCGCAGAGAUAUGGAGGAACACCAGUGGCGAAGGCGACUUUCUGGUCUGUAACUGACGCUGAUGUGCGAAAGCGUGGGGAUCAAACAGGAUUAGAUACCCUGGUAGUCCACGCCGUAAACGAUGAGUGCUAAGUGUUAGGGGGUUUCCGCCCCUUAGUGCUGCAGCUAACGCAUUUAAGCACUCCGCCCUGGGGAGUACGACCGCAAGGUUGAAAUUCAAAGGAAUUGACGGGGACCCGCACAAGCGGUGGAGCAUGUGGUUUAAUUCGAAGCAACGCGAAGAACCUUACCAAAUCUUGACAUCCUCUGACUCCUCUAGAGAUAGAGUUUUCCCCUUCGGGGGACAGAGUGACAGGUGGUGCAUGGUUGUCGUCAGCUCGUGUCGUGAGAUGUUGGGUUAAGUCCCGCAACGAGCGCAACCCUUAAGCUUAGUUGCCAUCAUUAAGUUGGGCACUCUAAGUUGACUGCCGGUGACAAACCGGAGGAAGGUGGGGAUGACGUCAAAUCAUCAUGCCCCUUAUGAUUUGGGCUACACACGUGCUACAAUGGACAAUACAAAGGGUAGCGAAACCGCGAGGUCAAGCAAAUCCCAUAAAGUUGUUCUCAGUUCGGAUUGUGGUCUGCAACUCGACUAUAUGAAGAUGGAAUCGCUAGUAAUCGUAGAUCAGCAUGCUACGGUG
rnacentral:rRNA from 1 species